rnacentral:rRNA from 1 species
UACAGAGGUGGCAAGCGUUGUUCGGAAUUACUGGGCGUAAAGGGCGCGUAGGCGGUCUUUUAAGUCUUGUGUGAAAUCCCUCAGCUUAACUGGGGAACUGCGUCUGAUACUGGAUGGCUUGGAUUCGGGAGAGGAAUGCGGAAUUCCAGGUGUAGCGGUGAAAUGCGUAGAUAUCGGGAGGAACACCUGUGGCGAAAGCGGCGCACUGGACCAUAACUGACGCUGAGGCGCGAAAGCUAGGGGAGCAAACAGG